rnacentral:rRNA from 1 species
AGCAAUUAUACAGCGAAACUGCGAAUGGCUCAUUAUAUAAGUUAUCGUUUAUUUGAUAGUACCUUACUACUUGGAUAACCGUGGUAAUUCUAGAGCUAAUACAUGCUAAAAAUCCCGACUUCGGAAGGGAUGUAUUUAUUAGAUUAAAAACCAAUGCCCUCUGGGCUCUCUGGUGAUUCAUGAUAACUUCUCGAAUCGCAUGGCCUUGCGCCGGCGAUGGUUCAUUCAAAUUUCUUCCCUAUCAACUUUCGAUGUUUGGGUAGUGGCCAAACAUGGUUGCAACGGGUAACGGAGGGUUAGGGCUCGACCCCGGAGAAGGAGCCUGAGAAACGGCUACUACAUCCAAGGAAGGCAGCAGGCGCGCAAAUUACCCAAUCCCGACACGGGGAGGUAGUGACAAUAAAUACUGAUACAGGGCUCUUUUGGGUCUUGUAAUUGGAAUGAGUACAAUUUAAAUCCCUUAACGAGGAACAAUUGGAGGGCAAGUCUGGUGCCAGCAGCCGCGGUAAUUCCAGCUCCAAUAGCGUAUAUUAAAGUUGUUGUGGUUAAA